rnacentral:rRNA from 1 species
UACGUAGGGUCCGAGCGUUGUCCGGAAUUAUUGGGCGUAAAGGGCUCGUAGGCGGUUUGUCACGUCGGGAGUGAAAACUCAGGGCUCAACCCUGAGCGUGCUUCCGAUACGGGCAGACUAGAGGUAUGCAGGGGAGAACGGAAUUCCUGGUGUAGCGGUGGAAUGCGCAGAUAUCAAGCGGAACACCGGUGGCGAAGGCGGCCUUCUGGACAGUGACUGACGCUGAGACGCGAAAGCGUGGGGAGCAAACAGG